UAGGGAAUCUUCCACAAUGGGCGCAAGCCUGAUGGAGCAACGCCGCGUGAGUGAAGAAGGGUUUCGGCUCGUAAAGCUCUGUUGUUAAAGAAGAACACGUAUGAGAGUAACUGUUCAUACGUUGACGGUAUUUAACCAGAAAGUCACGGCUAACUACGUGUCAG
rnacentral:rRNA from 1 species